rnacentral:misc_RNA from 1 species
GAAAUACAUAGCCAAUCCACUUCAUUAACAAGGAAGUGCCCCUAACAAGAUAUGUGCAUCUGGGUCAAUUCAUAAAUGAGCAAGUUACAAUUACUUCUAUAGAAGAAGAGAAGAGCCUAGUCAACAUAGUCACAGAGUGAGCCACGCUUUAGCUGAAACUGCAACACCAUUCAUGUGAAACAUUACAGAGGCAGAAGAAUAAAUGAUGGUUACUCAGAAAUGCAGAAGAAAAAUUGAUGGUACUCGGAAAGGCAAAAUGAGUGGAUCGCAGUAAAUGACUUAUGAUGGAGCGCCAAGAUAUGAUGCAAGCCGUAAAAUGUCAGAGAAUACUCCACCAGCUGUCACUUCAGCACCAGCACCAGGACCACGCACUAUUAGAGGUUGCUUCGCAUAUCUUUCAGUUGUGAAUGCAAUUAUGUUAUCUGAUCCAGAGAGUUGUGCAAAUGGAUGCUCUUUGCUGUAUUUUUGCAGCUCAACAGUUCCUUUUCCACUGACAACAUCUACGACUCCAACAUAUCUCAAAACUUCCCCAGUGUUUUCAGCCUCUUGCCUCUGCGCAGCCAACUGUUGAUCAAAUUGUGGCAACUGCUGCAUAAAUUCCUCCGGAGAUGCACUAGACCUUAAUGGCUCAGGCACAAGGCUCUGAACGGGGAUAUCUGAAAGCUCUAGCUCUAACCCACUUUCCCUAGCAAGAAUUAUCACCUUUCUGGCA